rnacentral:rRNA from 1 species
AGAUUGAACGCUAGCGGGAUGCUUUACACAUGCAAGUCGAACGGCAGCGCGGACUUCGGUCUGGCGGCGAGUGGCGAACGGGUGAGUAAUAUAUCGGAACGUGCCCAGUAGCGGGGGAUAACUACGCGAAAGCGUGGCUAAUACCGCAUACGCCCUACGGGGGAAAGGGGGGAUUCUUCGGAACCUCUCACUAUUGGAGCGGCCGAUAUCAGAUUAGCUAGUUGGUGAGGUAAAGGCUCACCAAGGCGACGAUCUGUAGCUGGUUUGAGAGGACGACCAGCCACACUGGGACUGAGACACGGCCCAGACUCCGUACGGGAGCAGCAGUGGGGAAUUUGGACAA